GUGCUCGGCACUGAGGCUCUCUGACAGGUGCAAUAUGGCUCAUUGAUCUGGUUCGGAUCCGCUGAUGCGCCCUCAUUUUUGCUGUUCUUGUUGGUAAUUUUGUCCAGUUGUAAAACACCUGUUUUUAUGGAACUUGAAGUUGUUUUACCGGUGAUUUUAAGGCGUGUGCCCCCGACGUUCCCUGUCUCAGGAACAAAGCUGACUCCUGAACUCUCACUCCUGCAGCCUACGGGUCCAAAGUUCAACGGUGGCGAUGGUGAGGUUGUUUACAACUGGGUAGGACACUAUCGCCUGUUAACGCACAGAUUACAGGGGCUGGCCCACGGUUACUAACUAGAUUUGAACACACAGAAAAGUCCUGCACUGGGAGACAGUGAGGGAGCCUGACCAGGGAGUGAAGGUAACCAGUCAUGUGCCCCUAUCUCCCUCCUGCCCCCUCUCACCCCUCUGGACUCCUUUGGGCGGCUCCACUGCCAAUCUCCUCUGUCCACUUACAGCCUUGACAAGAUCUGCUCCCUAAUGUUGCCGCCUGAUUGUUCUGCUGUUUGUCAGGAGAGUGAGUGUUUUGAUGUGUUCUGGGAAACGCAGCGUCGAAGGAUAUGGAUCCUCUCCUGAGGUGGUAAAUAACUUAAAAGACGCUCAGGCUCUCAUCUCUCCCCUCUGAGCUUCUGCUGAGGCUGUUCUCAUCAGCGCUGUACGAACACGUACUGUAUCUGCGAAUUGGAUAAUGCUUUACAGUAAGUGGCAGCUCAUGGUUAAUUCAUGAGGAAGAGGAGGUGUGUACACCGUGACUUCAAGUGCAUUUCACAUCAUCUCCAAAUGGGAUUGUGUGGGCGGCUUGCUAGCACCGCGCUUGGCUUUGAAGCCUGACCGGGGAUCCUUCUGUGUGGAGUUUGCAUGUUCCACCUUGUGAUCACAUGGGUUUUUCACCAGGUGCUCCCUGAGACAAUCCAGCAUCCCUCUAAAAGGUCCCUUUUCCCCGUGGCUCUGUAGCAGGCCUGUGGUCCUGCCCUGGGCACCAACCUGUCACCAGCUGUCGGAUAAUGGAAGGAAAUAAAGAGGUACCAGGGGCAAAAUCGGCCGGGGGGGGCGAAUGAAAUUUGCCCCGACACUCAUUUCUGAUACAUAUCGAACGUUGUUCAAGUUCCUUAUCGGCGCCCAUAGCGUGUUGCUCUAACAGCUGCUGAACUUGUUGCUCCUGCUAUCCCUACUCUUCCAGGGCAGGCCCCGAGCCGGAAUCCGCAAUCGGUGUGGCAGUUCUGCGGUGCAGGCCGGGACAAUGCUGCCUCCCUCCCUGCGCCCAGCCCAGACACACAGGUGUCUGCACAAAGGCCUCUAUUCCUCAGCGCGUUCACAUGACCGCUGUGCGACAGCAGCCCAUGCACAAAGAGCCGUGAUGUCACACUGUGGGAUCGGUGUGCAGGAGCCCUGCCUCGCUGCAGGGACAGAGGCAGUUCUGCUCCUGUAUGCACUGUAUUGACCUAUGGACUCUGUAUUGUACUACAGUCUCUGUAUUGACAUAGAGUCUGUAUGUAUUGUAUUGAACUGCAGCCCCUGUAUGUACUGUAUUGACCUAUAGACUCUGUAUGUACUGUAUUGAACGACAUUCUCUGCAAGUAAUGUAUUGAAUUACAACCUCAGUAUGUACUUAUUGGAUUACAGUCCACCAUAUGCAAUGUAUUGAACUACAGCAUCUGCAGUAAUGUGAAGUAUUGAAUUAGUGUCUUUAUAUAUUGUAUUGAAUUACAGCCCCUGUAUGUACUGUGUUCCUUCUGCAUCUGAUAUACGUCUCCAAAAAGACUUUGCAGUUGUCUGGUGUGCUGUUUAUUUUUUUUUUAUCCACUUUUUUUUCCUUAUAGGUCAUCUAACCGUUCCGUUCACAAUCUGACAGUAGCCGCAGCCUCGACGUAUGAAGCCCACGCCCCAGCUAAGCCGUUUCACCACACUUCGCUCAUGGCGCCCGAUCCCAGACGAGCUGUGUCACGGAGGACGCGGAUGAACCCGAGCCUGUGCGUUUCCUUCGCCGUGUUUUUAUUUUGUCUGCGCGACACACCGCCCGCCGCGC
ensembl:lincRNA